UACGUAGGGUGCAAGCGUUGUCCGGAAUUAUUGGGCGUAAAGAGCGUGUAGGCGGCCCGAUUAGUCCGCUGUGAAAGUCCAGGGCUCAACCCUGGAAUGCCGGUGGAUACUGUCGGGCUAGAGUCCGGAAGGGGCGAGUGGAAUUCCUGGUGCAGCGGUGAAAUGCGCAGAUAUCAGGAAGAACACCCGUGGCUAAGGCGGCUCUCUAGUACGGUACUGACGCUGAGACGCGAAAGCGUGGGGAGCGAACAGG
rnacentral:rRNA from 1 species